CCGAGUUAGGGUCUUCUGGGCCUGACCUCCAACCCUUUGUUUACUCUAUCAUGUUGCUUUGGCGGGCCCGCCUUUUCGGGGGCCGCCGGGGGCUUUACUGCCUCUGGCCUGUGCCUGCCAGUAGCCCUCUCAAAUUCGUUUUAAUUGUGUUGUCUGAGUACAAAUAUAAAUCGUUUUUA
rnacentral:misc_RNA from 1 species